AAGAUGAGAACGGUCCAGAGGAAAAACAAAGUACAGAAGAAAUGGAAGGGCAGAGCCAAGAAGCAGACGGCGUCAACGCUGCAACUGGGCCCAGCCCUGCUUCAGAAGAGGCCGUUGAAGUCUGUAAAGAUGAAGAUUCUGCAAAGGACGACCAUAUUACAAAAGACAAUGAAGUGACAGAUCAUUCUGUGUGUGACCAAGAUCAUCCUAAUGG